ACAUCGGUAGCACAGUGGUCAGUGCAGUCUGCCGUUAACAGAAAGACGCGGGUUCAAUUCCCGUCCGAUGUC
rnacentral:tRNA from 1 species